rnacentral:sRNA from 1 species
CUUGGUCAUUUAGAGGAAGUAAAAGUCGUAACAAGGUUUCCGUAGGUGAACCUGCGGAAGGAUCAUUAAAGUAAACGCCCUCCGGGGCUCUCUUUAUUCACACACCCCUGUGCACUUUGGCCACCUGCCGCGCUUCACUGCGUUAGUAGGUGUGUCUUUAUAAUUAUACCCAUAUACACAAGUCAUUGAAUGUAAAAUCGUUAUGAACUAAUAUAACUUUCAACAACGGAUCUCUUGGUUCUCGCAUCGAUGAAGAACGCAGCGAAUUGCGAUAAGUAAUGUGAAUUGCAGAAUUCAGUGAAUCAUCGAAUCUUUGAACGCACAUUGCGCCCGCCAGUAUCCUGGCGGGCAUGCCUGUUCGAGCGUCAUUUCAACCCAUCAAGCCCACGGCUUGUGUUGGGGACCUGCGGCUGCCCGCAGGCCCUGAAAACCAGUGGCGGGCUCGCUAGUCACACCGAGCGUAGUAGCAUACGACCUCGCUCAGGGCGUGCUACGGGUUCCAGCCGUAAAACGACCUUCGCGACCCCAAGGUUGACCUCGGAUCAGGUAGGAGGACCCGCUGAACUUAAGCAUAUCAAUAAGCGGAGGAAAAGAAACCAACAGGGAUUGCCCUAGUAACGGCGAGUGAAGCGGCAACAGCUCAAAUUUGAAAUCUGGCUUCGGCCCGAGUUGUAAUUUGUAGAGGAAGCUUUAGGCGCGGCACCUCCUGAGUCCCCUGGAACGGGGCGCCAUAGAGGGUGAGAGCCCCGUGUAGUUGGAUGCCUAGCCUGUGUAAAGCUCCUUCGACGAGUCGAGUUGUUUGGGAAU